rnacentral:rRNA from 1 species
UCCGUAGGUGAACCUGCGGAGGGAUCAUUACCGAGUUUACAACUCCCAAACCCCUGUGAACAUACCACUUGUUGCCUCGGCGGAUCAGCCCGCUCCCGGUAAAACGGGACGGCCCGCCAGAGGACCCCUAAAACUCUGUUUCUAUAUGUAACUUCUGAGUAAAACCAUAAAUAAAUCAAAACUUUCAACAACGGAUCUCUUGGUUCUGGCAUCGAUGAAGAACGCAGCAAAAUGCGAUAAGUAAUGUGAAUUGCAGAAUUCAGUGAAUCAUCGAAUCUUUGAACGCACAUUGCGCCCGCCAGUAUUCUGGCGGGCAUGCCUGUUCGAGCGUCAUUUCAACCCUCAAGCACAGCUUGGUGUUGGGACUCGCGUUAAUUCGCGUUCCUCAAAUUGAUUGGCGGUCACGUCGAGCUUCCAUAGCGUAGUAGUAAAACCCUCGUUACUGGUAAUCGUCGCGGCCACGCCGUUAAACCCCAACUUCUGAAUGUUGACCUCAGAUCAGGUAGGAGUACCCGCUGAACUUAAGCAUAUCAAUAAGCGGAGGA